rnacentral:lncRNA from 1 species
CAAGAGCAAGAUCAUGAGGAGGAGUUUGACCCUGUCAGGAGGAUUAAAGAUGGGUUUAUUCACUUCAAGAUCCACCAUUUCGAGUACGAUGGCACUACUUUCAGAUACUAAUCAAUGGAGUAACUCAUUUCAUCUGAUUCUAAUCUCUAUAAGAAAACUAAGUAUACCUAAAAAGCAUACAUGAAUAAUCAAGUGAAAAUAAAGUCUAGGAGAAUCCUUCUCCCCUUCUCUUUUUUCCUUUGAAUAAUUUGGAUGAAUUAAUUGUUCUUAUGGAUAUGGCAAUUGGCAUGAUUUUGCAGCAAGUAUCCAGAUUACUAUAAACAACUUGCAGAAGGGCAGCACCCCAAGGUACUCUUUAUAAGCUAUGAUUUCCUAAUCGAACAGCAGUUUUUUUCCCUACCCAGUUUUGAUGGAACCUUACCUAAUGGAACAUUUUCUAAUCCUGCAGUUUCUGGUGUUUGCGUGCUCUGAUUCCCGCGUUAGCCCCUCUCAUGUCCUCAACUUCAAGCCAGGGGAAGCCUUCAUGUGCAGGAACAUUGCUAACAUGGUUCCUGCAUUUAAUCAGGUGGAUUUAGGAUUUUGCAAUAAUAAGCCAUCUUUGGCCAAAAGCCAUGGCAUUCUCAUUAGCCUUAUAGCAGUCUUGCAUAAUACAUGUGUUUGUGUGGUUCACAGUUGAGAUACUCAGGAGUUGGUGCAGUCAUUGAAUAUGCAGUCAAGCAUCUUGAGGUGAAUUCCAAUUCACUUUCUUUUUUUCUUUUUUUUUAGAUUAGUAUUCAAAUUCCCUUUCACUAGUCUUUUCUGGGGGGUUUCUUCAUGUCUUUAAGGGUCAGAAAUUAACUUAAUCACAGGUGGAGAACAUCCUGGUCAUAGGACAUAGUCGCUGCGGUGGGAUACAGGCCCUUAUGUCUCUUCCUGCUGAUGGAACUACUUCCAAGUAUGGCUGAUCAUAACUUAAUUCCUCCAUUAAGCUUCAUCUUUCUCACCCAUCUAACUGAUAUUUGCAGUGACUUCAUCGAUGACUGGGUCAAAAUCGGUUUACCAGCCAAGGCCAAGGUGGAAUCAGAGUGGAGCGACGCAACAUUUGAGGAACAAUGUGAACAUUGUGAAAAGGUAUAGUUCUUGGCCAUUAUAUACAUUCACACACAGUUUGAAGUAGGUCGUAACAAAUGAUAUUAGAAUCAGGUUCCAAUUCCAGUAUGGAAGUUUAUUUGAUCCCACAAAGAAUGUUUGUUUAUAUCGGAUGAAAGAAAAAUUUUUGAAUGUUAUAUAUGAUUUCCCUUAACUUUAUAAACAUAUUUUAAAAUUAUGAAAACCUCCUUAGAACUUAAAAAUGAACAGUAUUUAUAUGAUUUGGAGUAAAUCAUCAUCACUCAUGAAUGAUUUUGUGCAGGAGUCGGUGAAUUUGUCUCUGGUCAAUCUAUUGAGCUAUCCGUAUGUGCGAGCAGCACUAGCUAACAGAGCUUUGAAGUUGAUGGGUGGUUACUAUGAUUUCGUUAAUGGAACUUUUGGGCUAUGGAAAGCUGAUUUUGAUAUCACACCCGAAAUUAUCAUAUAAACUUGGAUCAAGUUAGGUGCCCAACCACCGUGUUUGCUUACUUUUUCACUUCAAUAAUGUAGUGUUUUUGUGUUCGAUGAUGAAUAAGUCCCAACAAAAACUACCGAGCGAGUUAUCUACUUGCUCUCUUUUGUUGGUUUCCUCUGUAUGUUGUCAUUUGAAGACAGAAAUUUUAAAUACAUUUUGAAUUUCAUAUCAAGUUGAUUUUAGUCGGUGUUUCUGAAACCAAAUCAGGCUGUAUUGAUUGAAUCGUCAACCAGUCAUGUGUUUGAUUUUAUUCACCUUCUGGAUCGUUUUCCUUGUGAAAUUGGUCGAUCAAUUGAUGGAUUUGGAGAUUGAUUGGUCUGUCUACACAUUUUUUUUUUUUUUUUGCAAAUCCUAAAGUGCAAUAUCUCACUUUUCAAACUUCCCUUUCCAAACAUCGAACACAGGAAUACCAAGGGGAUAGGUUCGGUAGAGAUCCCUUGUCCCAACCUUGCCCCUAUAUAAUGUAACAAUCUACGAAACCCGCAUUUCGCACGAUGCGUUCCCACCUCACUUUUUAUUUAUUGAAAAUUUGAUUUUUUUGAAAAAGAUUUGGAGUUACCAGUUAUUUUAAUUUUUUUUAAAGGAAAAACAAAAUAAGAAAGAAAAAUCUUAAGUGUGAUUCCUAAAGGAAAAACAAGUCUAUGAAAAACUAAGUCUGGGUUCUGAGGUCGGGUUACUUAUUGAGAAGGUAUGAUGGUAAGCUGUAGCACCCCUCUAAGCCCGUAUACGUACAACCUCUACUAAUCGAAUGAAGGGAUUUGUAGUAAUUAAUUAAUUAAUUAUGGAUACCAAGAAAAAAUAAUCAUGCAAAUGAGUAUGUACAAGUUAUGGUGAAAAUCAAUAUACACAUAAAUAAUAAUGAAAUCUAAUUACCAGAAUACACAAAAUAAAUAACAAAAGAAUUAUGCAAAAUGAUUUAUUGAACUAAAGAAAAAAAUAUUUAAAGAAUUAGUUUUCAAGAAACUUCAAAGGAUUUUAUUAAAAAUGAUUUUGAAUUAAUGGUUUCAAUUUAUUUAUUUACAAAAAAGAAGUUUCAAUUUAUUUUCAAUUAAUGAUUUGAUUCAAUUUCAUUUGUAUUUAAUUUUUAAAAAAAGUUAUUUGCCCUUAUUGUAUAAAAAGAAUUUAUUAAAAAUAAUAUAUAUAUAUAUAUAUAUAUAUAUAUAUAUAUAUAUAUAUAUAUAUAAAAGAAAGAAAGAAAUUAAUAGAAACACAAAUUUUUCCAAAAUCAAUUACAAAAAUGUUUAAAUCUCUCUCUCUCUCUCUUUUUAUUUAUUUAUUUUUAUCUACUAGAAAUUAUUUCUUGUUUGAUUUUAUUAAAAAAAAUUUAUUGAAAAAAAAGGUUUAUUCAAUUUUGUUAGGACUAAAAGUAAAUAAAUAAAAAUUAAUAAAAAAUAAAAAGAAAGUUUAUCUAAUUUUAUUUAAAAAUUGAUUUUUUCAAGUUUUAUCCAUAAGAGUAAUACAAUUUGAUUGUUGAUUUUUUUUUAAAAAAAAGAACUUUAAAAUUUUAUAUUUAGUUUAAAAAGAGAAUUUUGCAUUUUCACAAUUUUAUUUAAAAUGGAUGAAUUUUAUUUGACUUUCAUCAUAACAAAAAGGAUUUUUAAGAUUUUGUAUUAAAAAAAAAAUUCAAUUCAAUUUUAUUUGAAAGAAACUGUUUACAAUUUUAUUUAUGUACAAAUUUAUUUAAAAUUUUAUAACUUUAAAUAAGGAAUUUUUACUUGCUUGGAGGAAAAUUGUCUUUUAUUAAGAAGGAAUUUUUUUAUUAAAAAAAGAAAGUUAGCUUUGUAGAAUUCAGUAUCUAUUAAAAAUAAAAUAAAAUAAAAUCACCUAGAUGACUCCUCUAUUUAUUUAUUUUUAAGACAAAAAAUUUUAAAAAAAUAUUGAAAAGGGAUUUUGGUUUAUUAGAACUAAAAAAAAUAUUUACAAAUAAUUAAAUCUAGAAAAAGAGCUUUAGUUUUGUUAUUAUUAGUAUUAUAAAAUGAACAAAUAAAUAAAUAGAUAAAUUAAAAAAAAUCUAUAAGCAGAAACAUCAUUAUUCCGUUAUCAUUAGAUUUACACAAUAAUCUGAAAAUUAAAAACAAUACAAAAUAAAUGAAUGACUAAAUAAACAAACGAAUAAAUAAAUUACUGCAUACACAACAAUAACCGAAUUAAAAUAUUUACAAGGAUAUGAAAUGAAAUGAAUCAUAUACAUACACCGAUAUAUAUCAAAAUGGCAUGCAGAAUAAAUCCAAUAUAUCUUAAAAUAAAUAUAAAAUAAAAUAAAAACAAAGAGAAGGACAUGGAUAAUCGGUAUACCCUUUACAGUGCAAUCCCAAAUCUAGUGGCUCUCCACAGCUUCCUCAACAAAGUUUAGAAAUACCCACAAACAUCUCAAACCUCUCAUAGACAAAAUAAAUAAAUAAAAUAAAUAAUGCUAAGAAAAUACAAAGAGAGUUUUUCUAGAAAAAUCCAGAGAGUCAUCUUCCUUAGCUGUCUUUCUCUCCCCUCUUUUUUUGGCUGCAAGAUGAUCCCAUUAUCCCCAAAUUAGGUUCACCAACUUUCUGCCCAUGCCCAUGCCUUGCCUCUAACUGCUCCAACUGCUCCCAAUCAACACUGCACUUCUCUUCCCACUCUCAACAACAACAAAAAAAAAAACGUCACAACCAUGUAUUAGCAAAAAGGGUCAAGCCUAAUACAAGAUUUAAUAAAUACACCAUGGAGGAAAAUAUCGGGAUAUAUCGGCGAUAUAUCUUGUAUCGGGAGGUGGCGACACGGCAUUUCAAGGAGAAAAAUCGAAGGACGAUUUUUCGCAAAAAAUCGCCAAUAAAUCGACGAUAUAUCGGUGAAAAUCGAUAAAUCGGCGAUUUCCCCAAAUAAUCGCCUGUGGCCGUAGAAAAUCGCCGAUAAAUCGCCGACUUUUUGGAGAUAUUUCGCUCCUCUCUCCAGCACGAUCUGACGGCCCAGAUCACGCCCGCGUUGAUCCAACGGCCAGAUUUGUCCUAGUUUGUGAUCCAACGGCCAUAUUUGAAUUUCAACGGUAAAUUGGUGUUCCAACGGCUAUUUUGGCCCAAAUUCCUUCUAUAAAUAGCCAUUUUUCCAUCAAUUUCACCCAUUUUUGCUUUCAUUCUUCAUUUGCUCUCUCAUUACUCCAAUUUUAAAGUAUGUUUAUUUUAAAUUGUAAUUAAUUUUGUUUGCAAUUGUAAUUAAUAUGGAUGAUUUAAUGUUAUUUUUAUAUUCAAUAGUAAUUAAUUUGUAUAUUUUUAUUGAAUUGACUUAGGUUAAUUUGAUUAUUUAAUUAUAAAUUGAUAUGUUUAUUUUAAAUGAUUAUUUGUGAUUUAGUUUCAUAUUUAGAAUGAUUAUUUGUGAUUUAGUUUCAUAUUUAAUUAAUUUAAUUAACAUGCUAAAUUAUUUAAUUAAUUUAAUUAACAUGAACUAGUAUAUUUUGAAUAUGAAAUAUGUUCAUUUUUAUGAUUAUUGAGAUUUUUUUUCAUAUUCAAUUAUGAUUAGUUUUUAAUUUAGUAAAUUUAUCAUAGAAUUAGAUCUAGAUUUAAAAAAUUAACUUAGCUAAAUUAUUUAAUUAGUUUAAUUAACAUGAACUACUAUAUAUGGAAUGUUAAAUAUGUUCAAUUUUUAUGAUUAUCAUGAUUUAGUUUCAUAUCCAAUUAUGAUUAAUUUUUAAUUUAGUAAAUUUUUCAUAGAAUUAGAUUUAGAUUAAAAAAAUUAACUUAGCUAAAUUAUUUAAUUAGUUUAAUUAACAUGAACUACUAUAUAUAUGGAAUAUUAAAUAUGUUCAAUUUUUAUGAUUAUCAUGAUUUAGUUUCAUAUCCAAUUAUGAUUAAUUUUUAAUUUAGUAAAUUUUUCAUGGAAUUAGAUUUAGAUUCAAAAAAUUAACUUAGCUAAAUUAUUUAAUUAGUUUAAUUAACAUGAACUACUAUAUAUGGAAUAUUAAAUAUGUUCAAUUUUUAUGAUUAUCAUGAUUUAGUUUCAUAUCCAAUUAUGAUUAAUUUUUAAUUUAGUAAAUUUUUCAUAGAAUUAGAUUUAGAUUCAAAAAAUUAACUUAGCUAAAUUAUUUAAUUAGUUUAAUUAAAUAUAUGGAAUAUCAACUAUGUUCAUUCUUUAUCAUUAUUUUGUACAUUUCUCAUAUAUUUAAAUUUAAAUAUUGACUUGAUUUUUGUUUACAUUGAAAUCACAUUCAAGUGUAUUUUUAUUGCAAUAGAUUUAGCAUGGCUAGUGAAGGUGGUUCUGCCCUGCCAGGGCGAGAUCCGGCUUGGAAGUAUUGUUUACCAAUUGGGGGUAACCGAAAUGGAACAAUUUGUAAUUUCUGUGGGUUGGUGAUGAAAAGUGGAGGCAUCACGCGAUUCAAGUUCCAUUUAAUGCAUAAAGACCCGCAUAACAACACCAAAAAGUGUCCGAGAGUGCCGCCCGAAGUGAAAGAAGAGAUACGAUUCCUAGUGCAUGACAAAACAAAAGCAAAAGCAAAGAAAAAUGCUGAUAUUGAAGACAUUCGUGCUCAAUUACGUGGCACAAUGGGGACUCAUCAUACACAUUUGGUAGACGAAGAUAAUGAUGAAGAUGUUGAGAAUGAAGAUGUGUAUAUGUAUCCGACAGAUAUGCACCCAAAUGAGCGGGAUGCAUAUCGAUCUGCAGUUCGUGCCUCGAAAGCAUCAAAAUGGGAACGUGAACAAUAUGAGAAUAUUGUAGGGAGCAAACGCAAAACGGGGGAGUCUUCACAGUCUACUGGAUUACCGCCGAUGAUGCGAAAAUCACAUAGUAUGCGACAUUCGCAACAAUCACCCCCUAUUGCCCCUUCGCUUUACAAGUCUUCUGCAGCAAAACAAAAAAAUAUCAAAGAUAUAUUCAAGGGUGGUGCAAUUAAAGAAACGAUGGGACGCUUAAUUAGCAAAUUCUUCAUUUAUGAGAGCGUCGCACCCGCAAAAGCAAAGUCUCAUCACUUCAAGAAUAUGAUUAUUGGUGCACAACAAGCUGGUAAUUACUAAUUUUUGAAAUGUUAUAUUGUGCUAUACUUUUAGUAAGUAUAGUCUUUUGUGACAUGUUUUACAUUUUUUUUUUUAUAUGAAGUGCAGGAAUGGGAAUUGAACCUCCAUCUCCAUUUGACAUAAAGAACAAGUACUUGGAAAUGGAGUACAGAGAAAUGGAAGCUUAUGUGAACCAACAAAGAGAAAAAUGGAAGACAUAUGGGUGCACAAUAAUGUCAGAUGGAUGGACAGGGCCCACGAAAUUAAGUAUUAUUAAUUUCAUGGUUUAUUCUAAAGGGAGCACGGUCUUCCUUAAGUCAGUUGAUGCAUCGAACUAUAUCAAAGACCACAAGUAUAUAUACGACCUAUUGAAGACUGUUAUCAAAGAAGUCGGUAAAGAAAUGUGGUCCAAAUUGCCACAGAUAAUGGGUCGGUGUUCAUGAAAGCAGGGAAACAAUUGAUGAAGAAGUAUAACUUAUACUGGACUCCGUGUGCGGCGCACUGCAUCGACUUAAUCUUUGAAGACAUUGGUAAAAGACCCAGUGUUAUCGAGGUGAUAAACAAUGCUCGCAAGAUAACUAACUUCAUUUACAAUCAUGGUUGGUUACUAGCACAAAUGAGACUGUAUUGUGGUGGAGACAUUGUUCGACCAGGAGCUACAAGGUUUGCUACCAAUUAUAUUGCUCUUGACAGUCUUCUUAAAAAAAGGGUCGAUUUGAAAAAAUUGUUUAUGAGUGAUGAUUGGGCACAACACAAGCUGAGUCGAACAAAACAUGGACGAGAGUUGGAGCAAUUAUUGUUUGACCAUGCGUAUUGGGACAGAAUGACAAAUAUAGUUUCAUUAUAUGAGCCAUUAUACGUGGUGCUUCGACUUAUGGAUUCUGAAGUUGUUCCCACAAUGCCAUUUGUGUAUGAACUUAUGCACGUGAUGAAAAAGAACCUUACGCAUUAAGGAACUGGAGAUUGGAUGUUCAAAAUAAUACAAGAUCGUUGGGAGAAAACACUAAAACAUCCACUUCAUGCAACAGGUACUUAAAUACUAUAUAUCUUUAUAAGUUUUUACUCUGUAUUUAAUUUUGUUUAAAAAAAUACUAACUCUACUUAAUUUUAUUGUAGCAUACUUCUUGAAUCCAAGAUUUCAAUAUAAGCGUGGAGUUGGUAGUGAUCCGGAACUACUUCAAGCGGUCCAUGAUGUUUUUGCAAAAUUAGAUCCAACUACUGAAUCACUUGGUCAAUUUGGAAAUGAGGUAAAUAAAAAACUGUUAUUUGUCUAUAAAACAAUAAUUUCAUUCAUCAAUUUAUUUGAACGUUUACUAACAAAUAUGAUAUUAACAAAUUAAAUGUUGAAUACAUAGCUUGUGCUUUUUCGAGAUGCAAAAAGAGGAUUUGGUGAUUGAGCGGCAAUUGCAGCAAGGUCAACCAUGGUGCCCGGUAAGUCUUUAUAGGAAAAAAUUGAUUAUCAUUAUUGUAAAUUCACCACAUAAGUAUUUAUAUGAUUAUCAAAUUGGUUGCAGCUGAAUGGUGGUUUAUGUAUGGGAAUCAAACACCUACAUUGAGAAAGUUAGUCAUCAAAGUUCUCUCACAAACUGCGUCAUCUACUGCCUAUGAGAGAAAUUGGAGCACGUUUGCUCUCAUCCACACAAAGCAACGAAAUCGUUUGGCUUACUCUCGAUUGGAGCAAUUAGUUUUUUGUUACUAUAAUAUGAGGCUAAAGUUACGCGAUAUGGAGGCAGAAAAUGAUCGAGUUGCUGAAAAAGAUUAUCUUGAUCUUCUUGACAUUUCAGCCGAGGUGGGUGAAAAAGAAGAUAAUCAGUUGUUCCAAUGGGUGAGGCCUAUACACUUGGAUGACGAAGUUGGAAAUCUCGAUCCACGAAUUGCCGCUCAUGCUCGAGAAUUUGGAGUUAAUGUUGAACGUGUGUUGUCUGAAGAAGUUCACUCUGAAAGUUUUAGCAAAGAUACUGAUGAUUCCCACCAAGAGAUUGACUCCACAAGUGCUGGCCAUAGUAGUAGACCUAGUGCUGCAGGUACUUCUGCUUUUGGUUACGAUGGUUCAAGAGGUGGAACUGAUGAUGGAGGUGAUAAUGCGGGAGGAGAUAUUAAUGAACGUCAACAUAGUCAAUUCACCUGUGAAAAUACUUUCACACACUGCACACAGGAUGAAGACCAUGGCUCUAGAAGAGCUGGUCCAGGCAUAGGAGCUAUUGGGAAGCCUUAUAGAGGAAGAGAACGAAUGAUGAAACCAUAUAAUGAGGAGUUACUUUCAGGGAGUUUUGAAUCUAUGAGUAUAGGAACUCAAUUUAGUGACUCCUCGAAUGAGGCUAAUGUCUACCCUCCUCAUGUGAUGAGUUAUGGUCAACCUUCAAGUUCAACAGAUGAAGAGUAUGGUAUGUCGCGUUAUUCACCUUCUAGACAAAUGCCUUACCAAGUUCCAUAUCAGAUGGAAGGAGGAUUGGGCAUUAACACAUGGGUGAACUUUGAGUAUCCUAUCUAUGUAGAGGCAGUGGGUAGGACUCAAGAGAUAUAUGCAUGGCAUGUUAGAAUUUUUAACCAAUAUUAUCGAGGCUCAUUAAGUUGGUACCAAUAUUGUCUCCAACAGCAAGACAACGUUCCUUCAUCUAUCAAUCCCAUUGAACCACAUCGAUCCUCAUUUUGGUACUAAAGGGACAUUGUAAUGUAAUGUGUACAAAUUAUUGCUAUUUAAUGAAAUGAAGUAUUUUAUGUGACUUUAUAAUGAGAACAAUUACAAAAUUAACAUUUCUUAUAGAUCGACAUGAUAUAAUUACAUUUAAUAUCGUAAAUUAUAUCAUAUGUAUAUCAAAUUUUUCUACAAAACAACUUUAAAAUGUCUAUUAUACUUCUAAUUAUAUUAUUAUGAAGUUUUUAACAAUUUUAAGCCUACCAAUAUUUUUUUCCAAAAUAUCCGCCAAAAAUUGAAGUACCGAUAUAUCCGUGAUUACCGAUAUUUUCUUCCAUGAAAUACACUAGCCCAAAUCCAACUAAUAUAAUAGGCCCAAAUUUCAAUCACCAACAACAUAUGGGCCCAAAAUCCAUAUCAAUAAGCAAAUUAGGCCCAAAUCUCAUAACGCAAAGCCAAAGACAAAAACAAAUCAAAAUAAAAAUAAAAACAAAUGAGAAAAAUAAAAUAAAAUAAAAUGAAAUAAUAAAAAAAACAAAUAAGUAAAUGAAAUCUUACCUAUCUUCUAACCCACGAACAAAGAUGCAGCAAUCGAUGACCAGGGGGAGUGACAAUGAAGACAGAGACACGUUUAUGGCAGUGCAUAAAAGAAAAUGAAAGAAGAAAAAAAAGAAAAGAAAAAGUAAAAAUAAAUAAAUAAAAUAAAAUAAAAUAAUAAAAUAAAAACUUAAAAAAUAUAGAAAGAAUAAAUGGAAAGAAAAAAAGUAAAAGAAAAAGAAAAGAAAAGAAGAUAAGAAGAAUAAGAAGGGAUGGAGGUUGUGAGUGGGCGGCAGAAUGGGGAAAAAAAAUGGGCUUUUAAGGUUUGACUUUUGGAAUGGAUGGUGGAGAUUAAAAAGGAAAAAGAAUGACUAGGAUUAGUUCUCACAUAUGGGUAUGGAAAGUUGGGCCUAGAUUGUGCCAAAAUUAAAAUGGAAUGAGCCCAUAUAAACACAAUCAAAAUCAGCCCUAUAAAUUAAUAAUAAAUAAAUAAAUAAUAGUAAAUAAAAAUAAAAUAAAAUAAAAUAAGUGAGAAUGAGUAAGAGACAAAUUUUAGGGUUUACAAAUAUGACCCUCUUCGGUAGAGUUCAUGAGUAAAGUGAGUGUAUACACAAGCAAAACGAAGUGAACUUUGCCGAAGAACAAGAAAAACCACCAAAUUUGUCCCAAUAUGACACAAGUUCUCUUAAACCAAAACAAGAAUAAAAAGGCUUUAAAACCCUAUAAAAAUAAAAUAGCAAGAACGGAAACUCCUAAGGUGCCCCUAAAGUUACACUAUAGAUCUAGACUCUCUCAUAAAAGUCUCCAAAAGUGACUCAAAAAUUGAUGUCGAAGUCGAGUGGCAGUUGAACCACUAAGGAGCAUAGAAAUGAGUACAAAGGGAAAAACCAUACAUGUAUCAUACAAGAACACAAUGCAUAGAGUAUCCAACAAUAUAAUUGAAACACGUGUUACGAGUUGAAAAGACUAUGUCAUGUGCCAUGGAGGAGAGGAAACCCUAUAAUAGCAUGAUAAAGAAGUGAUAAGCACAAUGUAACAAAGUGAUGAAAAUAGCAAUGAGUGCAAAGCUAUGAGGAUAAGGUGCGCAUUGCUAAUGAAUAUAAAAUGAACAACACUGGGUUAUGAUGCAAUGAACAGCUCGGGGUUGUGGAUGUAAUGAACAACUUAGGGUUGUGGAUGUCAUGAACAAUUCAAGAAGAGGGGCACUAUACGCCCAAAGGGGGAGAUUGCGGUCCGCGACUCCAAGUCAAAUCACUAAAGGAUGACCGAGAUGAGGGUGAUCAACUCACUAAAAGAGAGGAUCUAAAUGCCUCAAGAGAGGGGGAUGCCCCAGAUGAAACUCAAAGGAAAUGAGUAGCGUUAAUGAAACUAAAAAAAUGAAAAGAUGUCACAACUAAAAUUGAAAAGAUAACAAACUCAGAACUAAAACUGCAAUGAACAACUUUGGGUUGUGGAUACAAUGAACAACACCGGGCUAUAAUGAAUGAACAACUCUAAGAUAUGGGCACUGUGAGCCCCAAAAAGGGAGAUCGUGGUCUGCGGCUCCAAGUCAAAUCACCAAUGGGUGACCAAGAUGAGGAAAAUAUCAACUCACUAACAAGAAGGAUCGAAAUGACUAAAUGAUGGGGGUAUGCCCCAAAUGAAACUCAACGAUAAAAGGAUAACACAAAUGAAACUAAAACAAGAAAAUGCCCUAAAUAAAACUAAAAUGAUAACAAACUCAUAACUAAUGUGCAAUGAACAACUCUGGGCUAUGGAUGCAAUGAACAACUCUAAGAUAUGGGCACUGUACGCCUAAAGAAGGAAGUCGCAGUUUGCUGCUCUAAGUCAAAUCACCAAUGGGUGACCAAGAUGAGGAAAAUAUCAAAUCACUAACAAGAAAGAUCAAAAUGACUAAAGGAUGGGGGUAUGCUCCAAAUGAAACUCAACGAUAAAAGGAUGACACAAAUGAAACUAAAAUGAGAGGAUACCAUAAAUGAAACUAAAAAGAUAACAAACUCAGAACUGAGAUAAAAUGAACAGCUUUAGGCUAUGGAUACAAUGAACAACUCAGGGCUGUGGAUGUCAUGAAUGACUCAAGAAGAGAGACACUAUACGCCCAAAAGGGGAGAUCGCGGUUUGCGACUCCAAGUCAAACCACUAAAGGAUGACCAAGAUGAGGGAAAAAUCAACUCACUAACAAGAAAGAUCCAAAUGACUAAAGGAUGGGGGUAUGUCCCAAAUGAAACUCAACAAUAAAAGGAUGACACAAAUGAAACUAAAACGAGAGGAUGCCAUAAAUGAAACUGAAGCGAUAACGAACUCAGAACUAAGAUAAAAUGAACAACUCUGAGCUGUGGAUGCAAUGAACAACUCAGGGCUAUGGAUGUCAUGAACGACUCAAGAAGAGGGACAUUGUAUGCCCAAAAUGAGAUAUCACAAUCUAUGACUCCAAGUCAAUCCACUAAAGGAUGACCAAGAUGAGGGUGAUCAACUCACUAAAAAUGAGGAUCUAAACGACUCAAGGAUGGGGGUAUGCCUCAGAUGAUGCUCAAAGAAAAAGUGAUAAUCUAACAAACUAAAUGAAGAAGAAACAUGAGGUCUGCAACCAAGAACACUUGAAACAAAAAUAAGAACAAAUGAAUAUGAUCUAUAGCCAAAACAACUAAAAUGGACUCAGAAGGAAGGACUGACUAGGAUAAUGAACUCAAUGAGAAAAGGUACAUGCCUAAGAUGAUAACUCGUAAAGAUCAACGAAUGGAAUGAGCGGACAUGAAUUCAACAAAUAUCUAACAAUCUCAAUGAAUAGGGUAUGCCCCAGUGUGAUGACCCAUAAGAAUCAACAGAUGAAUCGAGCAUCCAUGAAGUCAACAAAAUACCUGAUAAUCUCGAUGAAGGGGGUAUGUCCUAGUGUCAUAAGGAUCAAUCGUGUCUCCGGGUCUAUUUGACACAACACCCUGAUAUAAAUGUGCAAGCGCGUAGGACCAAUGGAAUGUCACACAAAUGUCACUGAAAGAUCUCUAUAUCACAAAUACCCAACUAAACAAUGGCUAUGAGCUCAUGCCUACUAUCAUCUGAAAAGAUCAAUCAUCAACGAGACUAAAGUCUGCAUGUCUCAAAGAUAUAUCUGAUAACGAAUCCAAAAUAUGGCUCAAUACUAAAGAAAAUCAUUGUCACUCAGAACUUUGUCAUAAAAGCAUCAAUUAUACCAAAACUUUAUCCAACACUCAAACUGCAACUGCCAACAUGACAUAUGAGAUGCCCAACUAAGAAAAAUAGGAUGCUGAUCAAAUACUUUGAUAAAGAUGACAUCGAACUGAACACUCUGAUGAAAUAUCGAUAUACUGUCCAAGAAGAUUUGUUGAUGAGAAAAACUAAACUGAUUCGCUCUACUGAAAAACAUAAAUAUCGUCGCGCAACUGACUGGUUCAAAAUAAUCCUCGAGGAACUGUGGUAAUUAGAGAUGACUCCGACUCAACGAUAAUCCACCAAGAAAUUAAAAUGAUAAAUCUAUCAAUGUCCCAAGGAAAAUACUCCAAAUUGAAUCUCAAAAUAACAAGAGGUUUGAUAAUCUCAAGAAUAGAAAUAUGUCUUUGAUAAAGCCCAACUGAAUCUAAUGUGGAUAUGAUAACCUCGAAGUGGGAGAAAUAUGCCCCAGUGUACAGGAUCUACCCACCGCUCUAAGAACUAUCUCCAACUCAACAACAAUCCAAAUGGAUGAUCCAUCUCAAAAGUGCUCUACAUGAAGAACUCGAAAUGAUGAAAACUGUCAAUAAACCCAAUAAUACUCCACUGAGGACUACCUCCAUCUCAUCAACACAACUCCAUUAAGAAUCAUGGUGAUAUUAAGAAAGUAUGGGCAUGACUCACGAGCUCAAGAAAGGCUCUACUAGGGAAUCAGGAUAAAAUCAGGCUGUCAAAUCAAUGAAAUAUAGACUAUCUCAACGAAGAGGAGGUAUGCACUAGUGUAACAUCUAACGUGUGGUAGAUUAGAAAAUCGGACAACCUCAAAUCAUCCAUCAUCAAAUGUGUGAUCUCAGUCAUCCAAAUCCACAACUGAAUCGAAUCCACAUAUCAAAAGGCGUCUCUCAAAAGAAGAAGCCUGAAGACAUCUAAAUAUCAAAAAGUGUGGGCCUGAUUGAAUGGCCCAAGAAAUGCUCCACUAGGGGAUCAUGAUAAGAUAACACACAAGUCAUCGUCUCGGUGUGUAUCUAGUAAGUGGAGAUGAUUAUGUAACUCCAUGAAGAUCUAUAAAUCUCAACCGAAAGGGAAAUAUGCCCUAGUAUGGCAUUAGAUAUAUGGUAGAUCGAAAAAUCAAACAACAUCGGAUCAUCCAUCAUCAAAUGUGUAAUCCCAAUCAUCCAAAUCCACAACUAAAUCAGAUCCAAAUGUCAAAAGGUGUCUCUCAUAAGAAAAAACAUGAUGAUAUCUAAAUAUCAACUAAAUCUCAAAUACCUGUCCAAGUAAGGGUUGUCGAAGACGACAUCUUGUCUCAUGGCCUCGGGUGGUCUUAAGACACGGAAUGUAAUGUAGGCUAGAGUGAUAGGGUAAUAGAAAUGAAAGGAAACUAGGCCUAAAUACCCAAUGAUCAAAAACUCAUGCCCUCAUGUAUAAAAUGCAACAUAUAUAGAAAAACUCGUGAGCCAUGGACCUGAGGGCGCCCAAAGUGAAUAUAAUAUCAGUAAUGAGACAAUGAAUCAAAUCAAACCGAUAAUGAGAUACGCAAGAAUGAUGCAAGGGAAAUAUCAAAUUUGGAAUAGGUCAGUGUAAGGAAUGAACAAGGGGAUGAAUUAAAUGGGAUGAAUCACAAACGAUGACGAGGAUGAUAGCAAAUCAAUGAAUAUACGAAGAAAAGUAAUGAUAAACUCAAAUCAAACAUGGAGUGAAGUCACAUCGACAAUGAAUGUAAUUAUGGAAAGGACAAUGACCUAGAGCUCCUAGGAGAAGGUCACUCAUCUCACUCUUAAAGAGAUAUGAUAAAGUGAAUACAAAGAAAAGAGGAUCUCAGAAAGCUCACAUACGAACUCUCACCAACAAUCAUACUUAAUAAAGUGACUCUCGGAUAUCAAUAUACACGCCCAACGAUGGAGAAUACUAUGCACAUACACACAUGUGUUUAUUUUAUUUUAUUUUAUUUUAUCUUCUUUUUUUCAUUUCAUUUUUUUUUCUUCAAUUUUUAUUUUAUUUUAUUUUACAUAUAUACAAAUGCACAUACCCUAAACAUGAACAAAAUAAGCUCCAAAUAUGAUAUCAAUAAUGGAUAGACACACUCUCAAGUGCUAAAGUAGCAUAAACUCUCUCCAAUGAGAUGACCUUCUCAAACCAAGGGUCUUCAGAUCAAUGUUUGUGGGAUAGAUAGUGGAAAUGAUGUGAAUAUCCUCAAUGUAAUGAAUUGAGGAGGAUCACCACUUAGGGUGGAAAUAUUAUGAAGCAAAACAAGUAGUAGAUAAAAUAAAGAAAAAUAUAUGAAAAACACAACCAAUGAGAUGUGAUGAAAUGCAGUAGUGUGAUGGUAGGAAAAAUAAUGAGAGAAAGAUGCACCCGUAGGCCCAAGGCUCAUGAAACUCCUGAAUGAAGCAUGCAUACACUAAAGGGUCCCUAUCCCGGUGUAGAAGUGUAAGCAAGGUAAUAAGAAAGAAAGACUCUGAUGCAUAUGCGAUGCUCAAUGGGCUAACAACGGUUUGUAUGUCAAAAAGGGAUAACAAGGUAUAUGACUAACCGAAAUGAUGACCACCCAUCAUGCGACCACGGUCUCAAACAUAAUACUUCUUCAACUGAUCUACAUUGGUCGGGUCUAAGAAAUGAUUUCUAUCGAGAUAUGUCAAUCAUGCUAGCACCUCUAGGAUCAACUCUCUAAUGACAUGGAGUCCACCCCAAAUGGGUCUGAAUGUCCCCGAGGAUCUCCUGGAAUAGAUGAAUCUUAAUGACCUGAGAGGUGAGAUGAACAAGAUGCGCAAGAAGAAAGUCAUCACAAGAGCCACACAACUACUAAAAAAUAAUCAAAUCCAUAUGUAAAAAAAAGUAGGAACAUCUUCAAAACAAGAGAUAAAAUCCAAUAACACGUCUAAUGAAAAUGGUGGGCCCACAAGGUUGGACUAUACCAUAACCGGGCUAGCAAUGCCCUCAAAUACAGCAUCAAAAUAAGCAAAAAAACUAUAUCAGCUCUGAAGCAGGUGAAACUGAAUCUCCUUUGAACUCCUGAUGAUGAAGACCCCAAACAUAUAUAAAAAAGAUGGAUCGUCUUUGGCUAAUCAAUGCUAACCAUCUAACUAACAUCUAAUGCAUCCACCUCAAACUCAUCAUAAAUAACUGCCUUGUCUACCAUGUCUCUAGUCUAUGAGAAAACAUUAGUAUCCUCCAUGAGAUCUCUCAUCUAGUAUGAUAGGCUCUGACUCGGUAUCCUUUGAUUUCAUCAUCUGUACACUGUCAUCAUCAACAUGAUCAAUGAAAGGAAUACUAAUUGUAGAGGAGGGAACCACAUGAGUAGAAUGAGCAAUCAUAGGAUUAGAAUUCACACCUAACUGAUCCAAGCUAAUCGAACACCGAUCAAUAACAUCCUAAAUGGCAUGUCGAAGAGCAGUGCACCGAUCUAUGUCAUGUCCCUGACUCUGGUGGUAGGAACAGUAUAGGUCCAUCCUAAACUAUGGUGGGAUUGGCUGAAGAAGAAAAUUAGGCUCCAAUGAGGUCAAUAAUCUAACAUCCAUGAGCUUCCCAAGAGUCUGACUCAAUGGCAUCCCUAAUUGAGAGAAAUAUCGUGGUAUCCUCGGAGUAAAAGAAGUGCAAGACUGUGGAGGUCCGCCUCUGGGAAUGGAGGUAGAAGGUCUUCCUAUGAAUUGAGUAGCAUAGCCUAUCUGUGGGGGAGUAAAAUACGAGUAUGUCCAAUCAAAAGAUCGAUGUGGAACUGGCUGUCUAUACUGAUAUCGGGAGUAAAGAGAAUAUCCCUUGGUAGCAUGUGAGGUUGACUGGUGACGUCUUAAGGUCCUCCGUUUGGUAGGAGAAAUAGUACUGACAUCUAGCCUCUACUCUCCUGAUGGCUCAUUUUCCUUAGAGUCAAUGGGGAAAGAAUCUGGCCAUAAUCAUUUUCGCAAGAUCGUCCUCUACACUGAAAAUGGUCAUGACCAAAGAUCCAAAAUCUGUAAAAGGUACUCCAGUCACAUGUUUGGCAAUCUUGUGUUGUAAUAGUCUCACAACCAUUUGUAUAUGUUCUCUCUCAGUAGGUCGGUCAAUAACCUGGACAAUCUUCUCUCUCCAACGGGAGAUGAAAAAAGAAACUGACUCAUCAGACCCAUGUCUCAAUGCGUCUAAUUCCUUCCUCGAUAUAUCUACGCUAGUAUUAAAAGUGAACUGUCGUAUAAACUCCUAAGCUAAGUCCUCCCAAGUCUUGCAGCGAGAAAAAUCUAAUGAUACAUACCAACACUAAGAUGUACCACUCAAAGAUAAUGGGAAUAAAACAAUCAACUGGGUCUUAUCCAAUCCAUAGGCUCUCAUAAUGGUGCUAUAGAGUCUGAGAUGAAUGUGAGGACAAUCGAUGCCGGUAAGUUUGUCUAUCUCCGACAUCCUAAACUCGGCUGGUAAACUGACCACUGGUAUUCCAUCAGAAUCAUCCCAAGUGACUAAACUAUCUAACAUCCUGAUAUGCCUAAUUUGCUGUUCGAGAUGAUCCAUGCAAGCAUGUACAUCCUCAGAGACUGUGGUCUGUGCCAUAACGGGUGGAGCAACCUCAGAUUGACCAUGUAGCAUGAAAGGCGAGGCAUGUGACACUCAUGGUCCGGGAGAUGGGGAUGGACGUAUACCCUGUUGACUAUCGGGCUUUUGACUGAGACUAUCUAUGACCUCCUGAAUAGAAGCCACAGUAGAACACAUUUCAAAAGCCUAAAGUGCCUAAUCAUGCACCAAUUAUCCUAGAUUUAACCAAAUAUCUUAUUGCUCAAAAAUAGGAUAGAACAACAAGUUAUGCAAAGAUUAAAUUAUUUAACAAGCCUAAAUUUGAAAUAAAAUCAAAUAAAAUAAAAAUUAUAAGGGUCCCAAAUAUGCAUUAAUUAUCCAAGAUUUCACUUAACGUCCCAUUGUUAUAAAACAGGGUAGAUCAGCAAGUCAUGUAAAAACGGAAAUAUUUGACAAGCUUUGAGGUAAGAAAAAAUUGAAGUAAAAAUUAAAUAGCACAUUCAAAGUGUCUAGAAUACAUUUAAAUAUUUUAUGAGACCCAAACAUGAACUAAUUAUCAUAGAUUUCGAAGAAUAUUUCACAACACCAGAUUCGGGUCAAUAUAACAAGUAAGGAAAAAUAUAAUUAAUUUUCAAACUUGGAAAAUGAUUUUUGAGUGAAACCAAAGUCUAAAACCUUAUUUAAGAAGUCUAGAAUAUAGUAAGAAUAUUAAAAAUAAUUAAAAACCCAUGCGCUAAUACAUAAUUUCAAAAAUCUUUUGAGGGUAAAAAACAUGGCAAAUUUUGAAUACUUAGAUUUCCAAUUUAAUCAAUAAGCUUAGAGAAGGGCUUCUUCACAAAACAAAAAUUAUUUUAUACAUUUAAGAAGUCUAAAACAUCUCCAAGCCUAAAAAAAAAAUUAGAACAAGACAAAAAAAUUCAAAUUUAGAAAACCAUUUUGUGGGUAAAAAACAGGGUAGAUAAUGAGUAAGUUUCGAAAAUAAAAUGUGGGUCUUACCAAUGCUCAAAUUAAUUUAUAUGGAUUAAUCCACAUACCCAACCUUCUAAUGAUCAUGGAAGGAAGCUCAUGAGGGCUGAAAAUGAUCUCACUAUAUUAAGGUUUGUGAGAUUUAUCCAUGUUUCAAAAAUUAAGAAAAUUUGAAAAUUAUAAGUUUGAAAAAUGAGUAAUGUAGGCCAAAGGAAAGAGCUAUGGACCAAUCCACAUGACAUGCAAUCUUUCUCAACCCUCAUGAGUGUGAAAUUGAGUUCAAACGAGGCAUAGAGGGCCAAUAGCACUCACACAUGAAAAGGGGUUUGAAAUUCACAAAGAAAUACUUAUAGAUGGGGAUGUUCUAAUGUAAAAUCAUGCAUUAUGUACCAAAAAAUAUAAAAGCCAUCUAUUAAACUUAAAAUGACUAUAAACUUAAGCCUCAAAUGACCAUGAAAGAGGGUUUCAAAUAGGCUAAAAAUGAUCAUUUAAAAGUAUAUUGAUGAGAAAGUGAUGUAGAGAACACUCUGUCUUACUUGCGUGAAACAAUGGAAAUGGAUCCCUCAUUUUAUUAUCAAGUAUAAUGUUGAUGAAGACAAUCACUUAACUAACUUGUUUGGUAAGAUUUUACAAGUAUAUUGGAUUACACUUAUUUUGAAGAUGUGUUAGAAUUUGAUUUACUCAUACCAAACUAAUGUUUAUGGGAAACCAAUGGUCAUACCAGCUAGUUAGCAUUAACCCGUCACUAUUAAAUUGUAGUGUUUGGAUAUGCAUUAUUAGUGGAUGAAAGUGUUAACACUUAAGUUUGGGUUUUUAGAAAAUUAGAUGCAAUGACUAAUAAGACGUCUCUUUCCGUUUUUAAGUGCAUCCACUAAUCUCCAUAUUAAAAGACUUUGCUAAUCAUUUAGUUAGGUGCAUGUUCACGGAAAACACGGUUGGUGAAUCAUCACUAUCAAAUUUAUAAGUUUGGAUGGAAAUUAUUAGUUAAUGAGAGUGUUAAUACUUAUAUAUGGGAUCUAGAAGCAAUAGAUAACAAGAUGCCUCUUUUCUUUUUUAGGUGUAGUCACUAAUGUCCAUAUUAAAGAAUUUGUCAACCAUUUUGUUAGGUAUGUGUUCAUGGAAAGCAUGGUUGAAGAAUUUUCACUAUUAAAAUUGUAAUGUUUGGAUAUGUAUUAUUGGUGGAUGAGAGUGUUAACACUUAUCUAUGGGCUUUAGGAGAUCCCGAUGCAAUGGAUAAAAAGAUACCUCUUUCCUUAUUUAGGUGCAUUCACUACUAUUUAUACUUUUAUUAAAUUUAAGUAAUAAAUUUAUUUGUUAAACAUUCUUAUUUAAAGUAGUAUAGAUUUAUAAGAUAACUUCAAAAAUAUUUACUAUAAAAGAUAACUCAUGAAUGUAAAAUCAUGGUUGUAAAAUAUAUUUUCACUGAAUAUAGACAAAUGAGACAAAAAAAAAAUUUGAAAUUAAAAUUUAGUUAACUAUUUUGACUUAAAAUGUAAAUUAUUUUUAACUUUAAAUUGUGAUAGUAAGUUAUUUCAUUAAAUAUAUUUAAUUUAUUUAAUAACUUAAAUUAAAUUAUUAAGUCAAAUUAACUUAUUAAAUUGAUUUACCAAACAUCCUCUUAAUUUCCAAAUUUGACUGUAGUCCUCAAAUUUUCAAUAUAGUUCAAAAAUAGUACUAUAGAACUCUUCUUGAUAUAAAUGUAAAAAUAAGUUUUGGAGUGAUCCUCAAAGAAGGACAAGUUAAUGGUCUUUACAAACAAUUGGAAGUGAUUCAACUUGUAAAAAUUUGAUAUUUAACAAAGUUUUACAAAGUAUGUCUAAAUAUUUUUAAAAUAAUUAAUAAAUUAACACUUGAUAAAUGAACAUUUGAAUUUGAAAUAAGACAUUAUCUAUUAAAAUUACCCCUUCACUAAUUUUUCCAAAAGCAUUAUGAAAAUACUUUUUAAUUUAUAAUUAAUUCUACUUGCUUUUUCACAAGUCUUGUUUGUGAUGACAUUUAACUUCUAUAGUUAAAAAGGUAAAAGCAAUAGAAGUAGAUGUAAAUAUCAACAAAGGGAUUGAAUUUUAUGUUUGAAUAUGUUUAUCAAAAAUAGAGAUAGUUACAAUAUUUUUGAAAAAAAUUAAUUAAACAAAACUCAAUUUCAUAAAUUCUGUUAGAGCCAAAACAUGGAUUUCUCUAACUCUUUGAAAUACAAAUAAGUUAUGUUGAAAAAUGUAAAACCUAUAACUAAGAAUUGAUAACCCUAUCAAAUUAUCAACCAUUCUUAAAAAUCCAAUAUUCUCUCAAAUAAUUUUAUAAUAAAAUUAGAAUCACUUUCAAAUGUAUUCUUAGAUAAAUUAAACUUUGAAUUCAAUAUGGGAGGCUUAUAAGUAAGCAUCCAAAUCCUUUUCAAUAUUCAGCUUCAAAAUUUAGGAAUUCAAGGACAAGAGAGAGAGAACUCCAUGUGGAGGAAAAGAUUCUUAUGCUAAAUCCACAUCUUAAAAAACUCCAUUUCCUUUAAUUUAAUCAUGAAUAUUUUAUUCAUUUAAAUCUUAUCAUAAGGAAUAUGAAAAGAUGUUAGAGAAAAGAACAAAGAGUGAGACAAAGAAAGUGAAAGCAAUUUAAUCUUAUCAACUCUUACUUGGGGUACAUGCCUUGGGCCCUCCUUACCUGGUGAGACCCAUGUGUAAAGUAGGGUUAUUCCUCAUGCAAAUACAAUAGUGAUUAAUAUGAAACAAUUAUUGAGUAUGGGGACAAAGAGGAAUAAUAAUUUUAAUAUGCUCUUUUGUGAUGAUUGGAUGAGUCCUUUUAAUGGGGUUCUUUCCAGAGUUUCCGGUCAAAGUAGUUGUUUUUUUAAAUAAAAAAAAAAAAUUCAAUCUAAUCUCAUAUUGAAAAUAUUUAUCAAAAUAGUUUAUCCCUACAACAUCAAAUUCAAAUUUAUUAUUAUUAUUAUUAUUCUUUUUAAACCAUUGAUGGUUUUUAAAACCACAAUCACUAUGGUUUUAUACACUCAAAACACAGGAAAAAAAAAUUCACAUGAAUGAGAGCAUGCGAUGAGAAAGACUAGAUCAACAAAUAUUUUUUGAAAAUGGUCUAUUUCCAUUAUUUUUGUCUUCAAAAGCACUGCUUUGACAUUAAACUCUUGUUUCUAAGUUGCUAUCACGACAACAUGUUUGAUGGGCACCAAGGUUCAACAAAAGAAUGCCUCUAAUUCUCACAAUUAAUAUUUAUUUUAAAAAUAUUAAUUACUUAUUUUUUAAAAUUAUUUUAAAAAAUAUGAUCAAACAAUUCUUAUGUCUUUUUAUUGUUAAUUAUAACACUAUGUUUGAUUUAAAGAAAAUAUUAAAAAAAAAAAAAAGAAUAAGAAAAAUAAUUUUAUCAAUUUUUGGUUUUAUUACAAAUAACAUUAAAGAAAGUGAAAGUUAAGUAAAAUUAGUUAAAAAUUAAAUUAGAAAUUUUCAAAUUAUUCAAUUUUUAUAUUAAAAUAUUAAAAAAAAUUUAAAUAAAUUAAAAUAAUUUAUUAAUUUUAAAUUUAUUUUUUAUUUUUUUUUAUUUUUUUUUAUUUUUUAUUUUCUACUUGGCUAUUUUAUUUUCUUUUUUCUUAAAUUUUCACUCAAUUUCUUUUGAAAACCAAACAAAACCUAUAAAUGUUUUUUUAACCACAACGUGUCAAUGAAGUUGUUUGUCGAUAUCCAUUAUUUUACUAAGAAUUUUCAACCCUAUAGAUAUAGCCUAAGGAGCAUAAAAUUGAGGUAAGAAAAGAAGGACAUGGCCAAUAAUUUUUGUUUCUUGUUUUGGUGGGCAUGAAUUAAUAUACGGUUGUUUGUUUCGUGGGAAAAUCAAUAAAGCAAGUUAAAAAGAUGUGAUUGGACUUAGAGAAAAUAUUUUCUAAGGUAAGACCCUUGAGAUGCUCACACAAAAGACAUCUUAAACGUGCACGUAAGAUUGUAGAUAGACUCCAUCAUAUUUUUUUAUUUUCUUUCUUGAAAUAUUAUUUAACUUAAGCCUCUUUUUUUUUCUUAUGAUUAUUUAAUUUUGUCAAUUUUCAUAAUUAAUUUUCUUAAAAUAUUAUUAACAAUAUAAAUUAAGAAGCAAUAGGUCCAGCUGUAAUUUGAUAAAUUCAUGUAAAUUUCUGUCGGUUUUGAGUUUUUGAUAUGAUUAAGAUGAUUUAGUUCUUCUUCUUUUUUCUUUUUUUCUUUUUUUUUUAUUUAAUUAAGUCAUUUAAAAAAUAUUUUAUCUAAAAAUCAAAAUUAACUUUUAUGUAAAUAUAGAAUCCAAAAAAACCUUUGUAGUGAUGUUUAUUAGAUUUUAGACAAAUUCAAAAUUUUUUCCCAACUUCAACUAAAAGAACAAGCACCAAUAAAACACCUUUAUUUUCAUCAAAUUAAUGGCUCAUUUUAAAAGUACUUAAUAAUAUGAUUCAAUACUAAGGUGUUGUUUUUUUGUUUGUAAGGUAUUGGUUUGUAUUUUUUUUUUCUCAAAGCAAUUUAUUUUCAGAUUUUAGAUUAUUUAUCUAUUUAUUUAUUUUUUUACUUUUUAUUGACUUAUUGCUUAUUUCUUAAAUUUUUUAAUUAAGUAGAAAAAAAUUAAAAUAUAGUGUUUAUUUUUUUUAUUUGAUUCUAAAUAGAACUUAAAAUUAAAUAGUAUUUAAUAAUGUUAAAUAUUUUGUUUGUUUUCAUAAUAUUUUAUUUAUAUUAAGUAUUAAAAAGUAAAGAAAAACCAAUAUACUAUUUUUUUUCCUAUUUAGAAAUAGUCAAAUAUUUUUAUUUUUUUCUGUUUAAUAAAAAAUUUAUAAUAAGUUAUGAAAAUGUAGAAAAACAAACGGGUUUUAAAGUCUGAAAGUAAAUUACUUUCUCAGCAAAAAACUAAAAAAACAAACACCCUUAUUUUUUUUUUAAAUAUGAAAAAUGACUAAUGAUUUUUCUUUAUUUUUUAAUACUUAAUAGAAAUAAAAUAUUAAAAAUCAAACAACUUAAUACUUUUAAGUUUUGUUUAAAGUUAAGUAAAAAAAAUAAAUAAAUAAACACCACCUAAACAAUAAUUUUUAUUUUUUUUGAUGAGACACCAAUGAAUAGAGAGUUGAAAUUUUGGAAGAUAUAAACCUAUACACACUAAUCAUGAUUAUCAAGUGUGACUUUAGAAAAUAAAACUAAAAUAAUACAUUUUCUCAUUAUUCAAUUGUAUUAGGUUAAAGACUUUUUCAACUUCAACUUUUGCAAAUUAUUACAAAAAGAUUUUCGAUCAUCCAAGACUCAACCAAUUUAAGGAACAUUAGGAAUUUGAAAAGUUUGAAAAGAAAGGAAGAAUUAGAAAUUUCUUUAAAUAUUUUACUUCAAUGAUUCUCUAUAUUUUGUAUAAUUAUUUUUAAAAAUAAUUAAAAUAUAUAUUUUUUUAAAUACUCUAUUCUAAAAACAAUUCUUAAAAACUAGUUAAGGAAUAAUGGACAACCAAACUCGUUUUCAUAUAUAUUUUUUUCAAAAACAAAAAACCAUUAAUAUUCUCAAACAUAAUCCAUCUUUUUCAUAAUGAAUUCUUAUAGAAACAUUUUCUAUAUAUAUAUAAAAAAAAUGAUGGGAGGUGUUUUCAAGUUUAGAAAAUAAUUUUCUAUUUUUAAAAAUAAAAAACUAUUUUUAAAAAUAAAAAACUAUUUUUAAAAAUCUUAAUAUUUAUUAUUGUUUGUUGGCAACUAUUAAUCAUAAGGUACAAAAUCAUCCAAAUGAGAAAAACCCAUCAAGGAAUUUCAUUAAAUCCCAACUAAAAUCGUUUUGUUCAUCUUGUGGGGAUAAAUGAUACACUAAUGAAUCAUUAAGGAAACUUGUAAACCAACGUCUCUAGAGAAUUGAAAGAGACGUGUUAGUUUCAAUUUCUUUUACUUAAUUGGGACUGGGGCAUCAUAGUGGAAACCAUCUUGUCGGCAACUGUAAAACCAAAUUUUUAAAUGUGUCUUCCAUGUGAAGAACGUUUUCCCCCACUUACGUACGUAGAAAGUACGUAUAUUUUUUCCUACCAUAUAUAAUCAGACUUAUAUUGGCCUAUAAGUAGGAACCUUCCGUAAGAACAGAUACCAUCAAUUCUUCAUAAGAGAUUAACCACCUACUCCUCUCCUCUCUUAAGAAAUUAAUGGUCUGUCCAUAGUUCAAGUGUUCAUGCAUUUUUAAUUUGUAUUUCGUAGAUUUGAUCUUACACUAUUCUGCAGUUCUGAUCAUCUCCAUUUGAAUUAUCAGUUGAUCAUUCUGAAGAAACCCACUAUUCAUUUCCUUGGGUAUUUUUCAAUUUGCAUGCAUAUAUGCUAUUAGGCUUUCCCUUAAUUUUCUUGAAGUCCAAAGGACAACUACACGCAUGCAGCUUUCAGAUUCCUAUUGAAAAAAGUUUGAAUUCAGAAACGGAGCUUCACAGGAAAAAAAAAAAAAAAGGAAGAAAAAAAAGGGAAGCUAUAUAUAUCAGUAGCACUACUAAUGUUUCUCACUUCCCAAUUUUCAAAAUUUGCAGCAACACAACAUGGAUAUGGCGACGAGCUCAUCUGAUGUAGCCAUUGAAGGACUGAGGCCGCUUCUGAGGUAUCCUAUAUGAGUAAUAAAUUUUGGUUUAUAUGUAUAUAUAUAAAUCAGCAGUUUGUGGUGUUUCUGAAGCUGAUUUACAAAAUAGUAGAAUAUAUUUGUAUAUUAGAUGAUGUGUUUAAUUGUUAUUUUCGGGAAUUUCCACUCUGUUUGUUUACUAAGAAACUAAUGGAGUUAACUUGUUGCUUUGGUAGUGAUAAGGAAGGUCUGGAUGAAAUAGCUGCAGCAAAAAUUGAGAAGUUGACCGCUGAGUUGCAAGAGCAAGAGCAGGAGCAAGAUCAUGAGUGUGAUCCUGUCGAGAGGAUUAAAGACGGGUUUAUUCACUUCAAAAUCCACCAUUUCGAGUACGAUGGCAUUAUCUCUAUAAAAAAAACUAAGUAUACCUAAAAGCAUACAUGAAUAAUCAAGAGAAAAUAAAGUCUAGGAGAAUCCUUCUCCCCUUUUCUUUUUUCCUUUGAAUAAUUUGGAUAAAUUAAUUUUUCUUAUGGAUAUGGC